rnacentral:rRNA from 1 species
UACGUAGGGCGCGAGCGUUGUCCGGAUUUAUUGGGCGUAAAGAGCUCGUAGGCGGCUUGUCGCGUCGAAUGUGAAAACCCACGGCUCAACUGUGGGCUUGCAUUCGAUACGGGCAGGCUAGAGUUCGGUAGGGGAGACUGGAAUUCCUGGUGUAGCGGUGAAAUGACGCAGAUAUCAGGAGGAACACCGGUGGCGAAGGCGGGGUCUCUGGGCCGAUACUGACGCUGAGGAGCGAAAAGCGUGGGGGAGCGAACAGG